rnacentral:rRNA from 1 species
GAUCCUGGCUCAGGAUGAACGCUAGCUACAGGCUUAACACAUGGAAGUCGAGGGGCAGCAUGGUCUUAGCUUGCUAAGGCCGAUGGCGACCGGCGCACGGGUGAGUAACGCGUAUCCGACCUGCCUUACACUCUUGGACAGCCUUCUGAAAGGGAGAUUAAUACAAGAUGUUAUCAUGAGUAAGCAUUUUCGCAUGAUUAAAGGUUUACCGGUGUAAGAUGGGGAUGCGUUCCA